rnacentral:misc_RNA from 1 species
CGGGUGUGUUUGUAUUUGCUGCCACAAGUAGACCUGAUUUGCUUGAUGCUGCACUUCUGCGACCUGGAAGGCUGGAUCGGCUUCUCUUCUGUGAUUUUCCUUCACAGCAUGAAAGGUCGGAGAUUCUUUCAGUUCUAUCAAGAAAAUUACCAUUGGCAAGUGAUGUCGAUUUGGAUGUCGUAGCUCGUUUGACAGAAGGAUUCAGUGGAGCUGACCUCCAAGCUCUUCUCUCUGAUGCACAGCUUGAGGCUGUGCAUGAUCUUCUAGAUAGUGAAAAUGCAGGGAAGCCCGAUAAG